GCGCUGUGCUAACCGCAAGGAGGCAGGCGACCACGGUAGGGUCAGCGACUGGGGUGAAGUCGUAACAAGGUAGCCGUAGGGGAACCUGCGGCUGGAUCACCUCCUUUCUAAGG
rnacentral:rRNA from 4 species